rnacentral:rRNA from 1 species
AUUGAACGCUGGCGGCAUGCUUUACACAUGCAAGUCGGACGGCAGCACAGAGAAGCUUGCUUCUUGGGUGGCGAGUGGCGCACGGGUGAGUAAUAUAUCUGAACGUACCGAGUAAUGGGGGAUAACUAAUCGAAAGAUUAGCUAAUACCGCAUAUUCUCUGAGGAGGAAAGCAGGGGACCUUCGGGCCUUGCGUUAUUCGAGCGGCCGAUAUCUGAUUAGCUAGUUGGUGGGGUAAAGGCCUACCAAGGCGACGAUCAGUAGCGGGUCUGAGAGGAUGAUCCGCCACACUGGGACUGAGACACGGCCCAGACUCCUACGGGAGGCAGCAGUGGGGAAUUUUGGACAAUGGGCGCAAGCCUGAUCCAGCCAUGCCGCGUGUCUGAAGAAGGCCUUCGGGUUGUAAAGGACUUUUGUCAGGGAAGAAAAGGCUGUUGCUAAUAUCGACAGCUGAUGACGGUACCUGAAGAAUAAGCACCGGCUAACUACGUG